AUAAUAGAAAACUCUACUCUGGCUUCCAUCUGAAUGAUCACAAGGCAGAAUUAGUGAUCCAGUAAAUGCCUUCAUGAAGAUACCAUCCCUUUCAUUACUUGUACUGAAUGAUCCUCUUAGACAAACUAGAAAGCGUUUCAGCACCUGGGACAGUUCCUUGUCUUCUUUAGCUGCUCUGGGUUGAGAAUUUGAGAUUGGAACUCUGAAUUUCUUGAGUUUCACCAUAUGAAAGCAUCAGAAAACUCAUAAAGUAUUGCUCCACCCAUUCGAAAAGGGAUGAAACUGGGUUGCUAAAGAGGAAUUCAGCAGAACCGUUCAGCUCCCUCUGGGAAGAAAUCAGCAGGACAUGCACAGUCUUUGAACAAGAGCUUCAUGGCUUUUCCAGGAUCAGUUUUGAGGGAAUAUAUUUCAGUACCCUGGACAGAAGCAUCUUCUAGUAUGUUCCUGAUGAGGAAAAACUCCAAAUACAUGAUUGUAAUUACAGAACCAA